GUGGGGGAGAGCGGCCGCCGGCACAGCGCAGCGCAGCUCGGCGCGGAUCGGCUCGUAUCAGUGCAUCCUCCCAUGGGUUCCAUCUGAGAGAGAGGAACUGGAGGGACUGAGUUCACGGUGCAUGGAGGUGAUGCUGGAGCACAGAACCACCUCUGGUUUCAGGGUCGCUGCUGCAGGGUGAGAAACAGAGACGUGCAAUGAAACACACCACCUCCUGGCAGAUGCUUUAUGUUCCAACAGUGCUGCCAUUACUGAGCCCACAGGGUCGCCUCUCACAAAGCUGUGUGCUCUGGACUCUGGGAAGUGGCUCUGUUGGGUCCACCAUCACCAGCAUGGCCUUGAUACAGCCCAACGCUGCUUCUCCUCUGCUAUCUGCUAUACUGACUGCUGGGCUGUCAAUGUCCCCUCUUUGGGGGCUUUUCUUCUUUCCCCCUCAAAGCUGACCUCAAAACUGAUGCAGGAGGAGAGACCUCUGUUCAAAGGAGCCAUUCAAGUCCAAAGGAAAGAGGAAAAAAAGUCUGUCCUCAAACUAAUUCAACUUGUGUUCCAACAACAACACGGCAUUAACAAACUAAGAUAAUGCUCCUAUAACAGAAAGAGCACAAAACACAGACCAUGGCCAAUGCACUGUGUAGCCCUUGGUGCUUUUAUACUCUCAUUUUUGUGAGGUUUUGUUGCUAUAUCUGUAAGAGCACUAGACGUUGGCCAUGGUCAAUGCCCUCAGUGUUCUUAUUCCCUAUGUUUGGUCUUUUGGGUUUUCUGCUCUAUCAGUAAGAGCACAAAAUGUAGUCCAUGGCCGAUGCGUUGCGUAGCCCUUGGUGCUCUUCUUCUCCAUUUUUGGUCUGCUGGGUUUUCUCCUGUACCAGUAAGAGCACAAAAUGUACUCCACAACCGAUGCGUUGUGUAGCCCUUAGUGCUUUCAUUCUCUAUUUCUGAUCUUUUGUGUUUUCUGCUCUACCAGUAAAAGCCCCAGGCGUAGACCGUGGCCAAUGUGUUGCGUAGCCCUUGGCGCUCUUCUCUAUUUUUGGCCUUUUGGAUUUUCUCCUGUACCAGUAAGAGCACAGAAUGUACUCCAUAGUUGAUGCAUUGUGUAGCCCUUGGUGCUUUCGUUCUCCAUGUUUGGUCUUUUGGGUUUUCUGCUCUACUAGUAAGAGCACCAGGCACAGACGAUGGCCAAUGUGUUGCGUAGCCCUUGGUGCUCUUCUUCUCUAUUUUUGAUCUUUUGCUUUUCUCCUGUACCAGCAAGAGCACAAAAUGCACUCCACGACCAACACAAUCGCACGGCCUUCGAUGCUCUUAUUCCCUAUUUUCGGUCUUCUGGUGUUUGCCAGGUCCCACUGUGGCCCCAUGGAAGCGGUGCCAACAGCCACACUGUGCCCAUGGCCCCACGGCCGCUCCCCAGCUCCGUGCCGCUCGGAUCGCAGCAGAACAAACGCAUAAAAAUGAUCUUAUUUAUUACAGGAGACAUGUUUUAAAACAACUGACAAAAUUGCAAGAUGUAAAACGACAAGCGAGCGCUUUUUCUUUUUUAAACCCAUAUAGACUUCUGGCAAUGAUAAAAAUAGUGUUUUCCUUUUUAAAGUUGGAAUUAAUCUUUCUUUCGAAAGCAAUCAUGUAGCGGGAGAGGCAGGAAGACGCUCAGAUAUUAACUGGUGCUUGCUGGGUGAUGGUUACUUAUGGGAGAGCCGGUGGCCGCUUUCCUCUGCAGGGCGAUUCACAUUAAAGCACGGCGCCAACAUUAAAGGAAAAAGGAUGAAUGGCGCGAGGGGGGAGGAGAGCGUCGCCCACUUAUCAAAGCUGCGCCGUGCUCGGGGAUGGGCAGCAGAUCAAAACGCACAGCGUGGCUGACACCGGGGCACUUUGACAUCGCUUUGGACUCCUUUCACUGUUUGUCUUCCCGUGCAACGCUGCUGUGUCAGCGUGGGUUGAGCCGGCCUCCGUUUGCACGGCGGCGGUUGAGCGGUGCCGCCUCGUGCCUCGGUUUCCCCAUCGGUGAGGUGAGGAUUUGAGCAGAGCCUCCGCCGCAGCGUUCAGCAUCACAGCUCUCUGGGGGUGAUGCACCCCUCUCCAUAUUCCAUCGGGCCGCCACUGCGGGUGGGUCCAGCCCUCAGCAUCACUCAUACCUCUGUUUCCUUUAGUUCUUUGCCAGUGUUAGUUAAUUAAACUAUGCAAAUUAAAACAACUUAAUUUAUAUAAUAUCAGUGCCGGAGCCUCAAACCAUUUGGUGUAGCUCAUCUGGCACGUACGUUACAUAAAAUGUUUGGAGCGGCUCUAAUAAAAAUGAAAAAGGCUGUAAAUCAAGUUUAAUUUAUUCAUUUUCUGUACGGUAUUAAAGCAUGCCAAAAUCAGAUUAUUUAUGAGCCCUUCAUAACAAUAGGCAUUUUUAUUGGUUGCAAAUGACAAAAGGGUUUC